GGUCUCCCACACUGGCUCCACGUGGGUCAACCAUAUAUCUGUGUGGACAUGUUCCCUAGGAACAUGUCUGCAGAGUUUGACCAGUUGUGCAUAUGGUCUUGGUUUCCUGGACUUGGUCCUCAUGAUUGGACCAGUUGUAUGGUCAGACUAGGUCUCCCAGACCCAUUGUGCAUGGGUUGACAGUUUUCCACACAGACUUUUUCUAUUGGACCAGGUAGUGGGGGUCUACCAGUUGUCUGUGAGGACUUGCUCUCCCAGACCUGGUCCGUGCGGGUUGACCAAUUGUCUGCACUGACUUGGCUUCCUGGACCCAUUCUGCUGCGGCUGACAAGUUGGCUGCACAGACUUGGUCUCCCAGACCCAGUCUGCACAGUCAAAAACUGUCCAUGUGAACUUUUUCCCCAGGACCAAGUUCAUGGAGGUUGACCAGUUUGUCCACAUGGUUUUGGUCUCUCAGACCCAGUCUACUGGUGUUGACCAACUGUCCUCGCAGACUUGGUAUACCAGACCCAGUCCGCACAGGUCAAACAGUUGUCUGAGUGGAAUAGGUUUCUCGGAACCAGUCCACGGAGGUCGACCAGUUGUCCUUGUGGUUAUGGUUUCAGUCCUGGUCUGCUUGGGUGGGCCAGUUGUCCACAUGUACUUGGUCUCACGCUACCAGUCUGCAGGGGUACACCAGUUAUCCGCAUGCACUUGAUCUCCCAGACCCUGUCUGCAUGGGUUGACAAGUUGUCCAUUUGCACUUAGUUUUCUGGACCAGAAGAGCAGGGAUCGACCAGCUGUCUAAACAGAACUUGUCUCUCAAACCCGGUCUGCUGGUGUCAACAAGUUAUCUGCGUGGGUUGAACAGUUAUCCAGGUGGACUUGGUCUUCCAGAAAUAGUCCACUGGGGUUAACCAGUCCUCCACGUGGUCUUGGACUCCUGGACCCACGUGGCAUGGGUCAACCAGAUGUCCAUGUGCACUUUUUCUCCAGCACCCAGUCUGCAGAAGUCGACCAGUUGUCCAUGUGUUAUUGGUCUCUUGGACCUGGUCCACAUGGAUCAACAAGUUGUCCAUGCAGAUUUGGUUUCAUGGACCCAGUCCAUGUGGGUCAACCAGUUGUCUGUGCAGUUGUGAUCUCUUUGACCCACUCCACCAGUGUCGACCAAUUGUCCUUGUGGACUUGGUCUCCCAGACCUGGUCCAAGCAAGUCAACCAGUUGUAUGUGCCAACUUGGCCCCCCUGGACCUGGUCUGCGUGGGUUGACCAGUUGUCCACACACACUUAGUUUCCCAAACCUGUUCCACUGAGGUCAACCAUUUGGCCACACAGACUUGGUCUCCCAGACCCAGUACAUGUGAGUCUACCAGAUGUCUGGUGGACUUGGUCUCCUGGAUCCAGUCCAUGGAGGUUGACAAGUUGAUCAUGUAAUAUUGGUCUUUUGGACAUGGGCCUCCAGGGUUCACCAGUUGUCUGGUCUGUGUGAGUCAACCAGUUAUCUGUGCUGAUGUGUCCUCCCAGACCCGUUCUGCCAGGGUCCACAAGUUGGCUGCUCUGCACCUGGUCUGCACCAGUCAAUGAGUUGUCCAUGUGGACUUUUUUUCCAGGACCUGAUCCAUGGAGGUUGACCAGUUGUCUGGGUGGUUUUGGUCUCUCAGACAAGGUCUGCUGGUGUCAACCAAUUGUCCUGGCCAACUUGGUAUCCUGGACCCGUUUCACAUGAUUCCACUGGUUGUCCUGGUAGACGCUGUCUCCCAGACCUGCUCUGCAUGGGUCGACCAGAUAUCUGUGCAGACAUUUUCCCCAGAACCCUGUCUGUGGAGGCUGACCAGUUGCCCUUGUGGACUUGGUAUCCCAUACCCAGUUCUCGUGUUUUGACCAGUUGUCUGGUCAAACUUGGUCUCCUAUUGGGAGGCAUGUUUCUGCAAUAUUUUCUUAGCCUCUUUGCUUCCAUUUUCUAUGCUGAAAACUCUAUCUUGUCCUGCUUUACUUUACCCCAUAUUCCUACUUGAAAAAUAGUCAUAGUGCUGGCAAAUGACUUGAGCUUAAAAACAGAGACCUAAAGGCAUAAGUUAUUCAUGUGGUCAGCUGAAUGAGGACAUAAUGUGUUGGUCUAGGCACACCAGACCUGCGCAGAUAGGCACGCCAUUUACAUAGCAUGAUAUGUCCUCUUAAGAAUAAGAGGAAGAAUAAGAGGAAGGAGUUCCUAUCGUGGCGCAGUGGUUAACGAAUCCGACUAGGAACCAUGAGGUUGCGGGUUCAAUCCCUGUGAUCCCUGGCCUUGCUCAGUGGGUUAAGGAUCCGGCAUUG
rnacentral:lncRNA from 1 species